rnacentral:rRNA from 1 species
UAAUCGGAAUACUGGCGUAAGCGCAGCAGCGUGAUCAGUCAGAUGUGAAUUCCGGCUCACCUGGGAUGCAUCUGAACUGUCAGCUAGAGUCUGUAGAGGGGGGUAGAUUCCAGUGUAGCGUGAAAUGCGUAGAGAUCUGGAGAAUACCGGUGCGAGGCGCCCCCUGACAAGACUGACGCUCAGGUGCGAAAGCGUGGGGGAGCAACCAGGAUAGAUACCUGGGUAGUCCACGGCGGUAACGGAGGUCGACUUGGAGGGUGUGCCCCUGGAGGAGUGGCUUCGGGAGCUAACGCGUUAAUUCACCGCCUGGGGGAUUCCGCCCCCAGGGUUAAACUUAAAAGGAAUGGCGGGGGGCCCGCCCAGCCGGGGGACCAGUGGGUUAAUUUGGAUCCACCGGGAGGACCUUUCCUUAUUCUGACCUUCCGGGGAACUAACCGAGGAGGUUUGGGUCCUUUGGGAAAUUCGGAGCCGGGUGCGCCAGGGCGUUGUUCAGUUGGGGUUGGGAAAGGUGGGGUUAAUUCCGCCACGGGGGCCACCCUUUUUCUUUGGUGCCCAGGGGUGAGGUCGGGAACUCAAAGGAGACUGCCGGUGAUAAACCGGAGGAAGGUGGGGAUGACGUCAAGUCAUCAUGGCCCUUACGAGUAGGGCUACACACGUGCUACAAUGGCGUAUACAAAGAGAAGCGACCUCGCGAGAGCAAGCGGAACUCAUAAAGUACGUCGUAGUCCGGAUUGGAGUCUGCAACUCGACUCCAUGAAGUCGGAAUCGCUAGUAAUCGUGGAUCAGAAUGCUACGGUGAAUACGUUCCCGGGCCUUGUACACACCGCCCGUCACACCAUGGGAGUGGGUUGCAAAAGAAGUAGGUAGCUUAACCUUCGGGAGGGCGCUACCACUUGGAUCUUGG